rnacentral:rRNA from 1 species
GCAGUCGUGCGCGCCUUCGGGUGAGCGGCGGACGGGUGAGUAACACGUGGGAAUGUGCCCUUCUGUUGAGGAUAGCCCCGGGAAACUGGGAGUAAUACUCGAUACGCCCUUAGGGGGAAGGAAGGAUCAGCCCGCGUCUGAUUAGGUAGUUGGUGGGGUAAUGGCCUACCAAGCCUACGAUCAGUAGCUGGUUUUAGAGGAUGAUCAGCCACACUGGGACUGAGACACGGCCCAGACUCCUACGGGAGGCAGCAGUGAGGAAUCUUAGACAAUGGGCGCAAGCCUGAUCUAGCCAUGCCGCGUGAGUGAUGAAGGCCUUAGGGUCGUAAAGCUCUUUCGCCAGGGAUGAUAAUGACAGUACCUGGUAAAGAAACCCCGGCUAACUCCGUGCCAGCAGCCGCGGUAAUACGGAGGGGGUUAGCGUUGUUCGGAAUUACUGGGCGUAAAGCGCGCGUAGGCGGACUGGAAAGUUGGGGGUGAAAUCCCAGGGCUCAACCCUGGAACUGCCUCCAAAACUAUCAGUCUAGAGUUCGAGAGAGGUGAGUGGAAUUCCGAGUGUAGAGGUGAAAUUCGUAGAUAUUCGGAGGAACACCAGUGGCGAAGGCGGCUCACUGGCUCGAUACUGACGCUGAGGUGCGAAAGUGUGGGGAGCAAACAGGGAUUAGAUACCCUGGUAGUCCACACCGUAAACGAUGAAUGCCAGUCGUCGGGUUG